CACGUAGGGUGCGAGCGUUGUCCGGAAUUAUUGGGCGUAAAGAGCUCGUAGGCGGUGUGUCGCGUCGGCCGUGAAAACCUGCAGCUUAACUGUGGGCUUGCGGUCGAUACGGGCAUCACUGGAGUUCGGCAGGGGAGACUGGAAUUCCUGGUGUAGCGGUGAAAUGCGCAGAUAUCAGGAGGAACACCGGUGGCGAAGGCGGGGUCUCUGGGCCGAUACUGACG
rnacentral:rRNA from 1 species